ACAUAAUAUCCUGUUCUCUGAUCUGCUAUGAAGAUUAUAAAUGUAUUUCAGAAGAAAUUCUGUCAGAGAGAGAAUUUUUCAUAUCACCCAAUGAAGUUUUCACAGUGAAGGCAAUCACUACUAGAAGUGGUACUGAUACCUUUAAAGAGAUCACCUUAACACAUUCUGACUUUCAAAGUUCUUCUAACUGCAGCAGCCUCGACAGGUUGCCCAAAGAAUCUAAAGCGUCGUCUUCAAGUUUCCUGAGUUCCAGUUCCCUGAAUCUUAUGGCUUCUUUGCUCCCGCUGUACUACUACACACUGACUCUCUAAUAUACUUUGUUUCCCUUUUCACAAAACUGCAAAGUUAAAGUUACUUGAAUGUGACGGUAUAUCAGUGUUCUUUACCUAUUUACAUAAUACAAUAAAUUACUUUUAAUGCA